rnacentral:rRNA from 1 species
AUGAAUUUCUUGGCCUGGAACUGUCGGGGACUGGGGUUGGACCCGACGGUGGGCGAGCUUAGAGACCUGAUACGGUCUUACAACCCAGCGGUGGUAUUUUUGAGCGAGACAAAAAAGAAGGCGAGAGCGAUGGAAAAAGUGAAAUGGAGUUUCGGGUUUUGGAAUGGCAUAGCAGUAGACUGUGUGGGAAGAAGUGGCGGCUUAGCUUUAUGGUGGAGAGACAACAUC